rnacentral:rRNA from 1 species
GGGUUGUGAGGUUAAGCGACUAAGCGUACACGGUGGAUGCCCUGGCAGUCAGAGGCGAUGAAGGGCGUGCUAAUCUGCGAUAAGCGCCGGUAAGGUGAUAUGAACCGUUAUAACCGGCGAUACCCGAAUGGGGAAACCCAGUGUGACUCGUCACACUAUCAUUAACUGAAUCCAUAGGUUAAUGAGGCGAACCGGGGGAACUGAAACAUCUAAGUACCCCGAGGAAAAGAAAUCAACCGAGAUUCCCCCAGUAGCGGCGAGCGAACGGGGAGGAGCCCAGAGCCUGAAUCAGCAUGUGUGUUAGUGGAAGCGUCUGGAAAGGCGCGCGAUACAGGGUGACAGCCCCGUACACAAAAGCGCAUGUGCUGUGAGCUCGAUGAGUAGGGCGGGACACGUGGUAUCCUGUCUGAAUAUGGGGGGACCAUCCUCCAAGGCUAAAUACUCCUGACUGACCGAUAGUGAACCAGUACCGUGAGGGAAAGGCGAAAAGAACCCCGGCGAGGGGAGUGAAAAAGAACCUGAAACCGUGUACGUACAAGCAGUGGGAGCCCCACCACCAAAGCAUUAUCUGGUGUUGAAGGCCCUGCAAAGCAGCAUCGCGGUGGCGGAGCGUCGUUUGCGACGCCCAACACACAAAACAAGCGGUGAAUGCUUUGGGGUGGGGUGACUGCGUACCUUUUGUAUAAUGGGUCAGCGACUUAUAUUCUGUAGCAAGGUUAACCGAAUAGGGGAGCCGGAGGGAAACCGAGUCUUAAUUGGGCGUUAAGUUGCAGGGUAUAGACCCGAAACCCGGUGAUCUAGCCAUGGGCAGGUUGAAGGUUGGGUAACACUAACUGGAGGACCGAACCGACUAAUGUUGAAAAAUUAGCGGAUGACCUGUGGCUGGGGGUGAAAGGCCAAUCAAACCGGGAGAUAGCUGGUUCUCCCCGAAAGCUAUUUAGGUAGAUCCUCGUGAAUUCAGCACCGGGGUAGAGCACUGUUUCGGCUAGGGGGCCAUCCCGGCUUACCAACCCGAUGCAAACUGCGAAUACCGGAGAAUGUUAUCACGGGAGACACACGGCGGGUGCUAACGUCCGUCGUGAAGAGGGAAACAACCCAGACCGCCAGCUAAGGUCCCAAAGUCAUGGUUAAGUGGGAAACGAUGUGGGAAGGCCCAGACAGCCAGGAUGUUGGCUUAGAAGCAGCCAUCAUUUAAAGAAAGCGUAAUAGCUCACUGGUCGAGUCGGCCUGCGCGGAAGAUGUAACGGGGCUAAACCAUGCACCGAAGCUGCGGCAGCGACGCUGAUGCGUUGUUGGGUAGGGGAGCGUUCUGUAAGCCUGCGAAGGUGACCUGUGAGGGUUGCUGGAGGUAUCAGAAGUGCGAAUGCUGACAUAAGUAACGAUAAAGCGGGUGAAAAGCCCGCUCGCCGGAAGACCAAGGGUUCCUGUCCAACGUUAAUCGGGGCAGGGUGAGUCGACCCCUAAGGCGAGGCCGAAAGGCGUAGUCGAUGGGAAACGGGUUAAUAUUCCCGUACUUGGUGUUACUGCGAAGGGGGGACGGAGAAGGCUAUGUUGGCCGGGCGACGGUUGUCCCGGUUUAAGCGUGUAGGUGUGUGUUCCAGGUAAAUCCGGUUCACUUUAACACUGAGGCGUGAUGACGAGGCACUACGGUGCUGAAGCAACAAAUGCCCUGCUUCCAGGAAAAGCCUCUAAGCAUCAGGUAACAUCAAAUCGUACCCCAAACCGACACAGGUGGUCAGGUAGAGAAUACCAAGGCGCUUGAGAGAACUCGGGUGAAGGAACUAGGCAAAAUGGUGCCGUAACUUCGGGAGAAGGCACGCUGACACGUAGGUGAAGUGAUUUACUCACGGAGCUGAAGUCAGUCGAAGAUACCAGCUGGCUGCAACUGUUUAUUAAAAACACAGCACUGUGCAAACACGAAAGUGGACGUAUACGGUGUGACGCCUGCCCGGUGCCGGAAGGUUAAUUGAUGGGGUCAGCGCAAGCGAAGCUCCUGAUCGAAGCCCCGGUAAACGGCGGCCGUAACUAUAACGGUCCUAAGGUAGCGAAAUUCCUUGUCGGGUAAGUUCCGACCUGCACGAAUGGCGUAAUGAUGGCCAGGCUGUCUCCACCCGAGACUCAGUGAAAUUGAACUCGCUGUGAAGAUGCAGUGUACCCGCGGCAAGACGGAAAGACCCCGUGAACCUUUACUAUAGCUUGACACUGAACAUUGAGCCUUGAUGUGUAGGAUAGGUGGGAGGCUUUGAAGUGUGGACGCCAGUCUGCAUGGAGCCGACCUUGAAAUACCACCCUUUAAUGUUUGAUGUUCUAACGUGGACCCGUAAUCCGGGUUGCGGACAGUGUCUGGUGGGUAGUUUGACUGGGGCGGUCUCCUCCUAAAGAGUAACGGAGGAGCACGAAGGUUGGCUAAUCUGGUCGGACAUCAGGAGGUUAGCGCAAGGGCAUAAGCCAGCUUGACUGAGAGCGUGACUGCGCGAGCAGGUGCGAAAGCAGGUCAUAGUGAUCCGGUGGUUCUGAAUGGAAGGGCCAUCGCUCAACGGAUAAAAGGUACUCCGGUGAUAACAGGCUGAUAUCGCCCAAGAGUUCAUAUCGCCGGCGGUGUUUGGCACCUCGAUGUCGGCUCAUCACAUCCUGGGGCUGAAGUAGGUCCCAAGGGUAUGGCUGUUCGCCAUUUAAAGUGGUACGCGAGCUGGGUUUAGAACGUCGUGAGACAGUUCGGUCCCUAUCUGCCGUGGGCGCUGGAGAACUGAGGGGGGCUGCUCCUAGUACGAGAGGACCGGAGUGGACGCAUCACUGGUGUUCGGGUUGUCAUGCCAAUGGCACUGCCCGGUAGCUAAAUGCGGAAGAGAUAAGUGCUGAAAGCAUCUAAGCACGAAACUUGCCCCGAGAUGAGUUCUCCCUGAGACUUUAGGUCUCCUGAAGGAACGUUGAAGACGACGACGUUGAUAGGCCGGGUGUGUAAGCGCAGCGAUGCGUUGAGCUAACCGGUACUAAUGAACCGUGAGGCUUAACCUUACAACGCCGAAG